rnacentral:misc_RNA from 1 species
UAAUAAGUGCUUUAUGGCACUUUUUAAAUCCAUAUCCACCUUGUGUGCAAUGUCAGUCGAUCUUCUUCACGGAGAUCGACCAAACAUCAACCUUUAUCUUUUAACUCUUUGUCUGAAAAAUAUAUGAAUAAACAAUUCAAAAUA